UCCCAAGAGAGCUGAGUUUCACCGUCUGGACCCAAACACCUGCUUUUCAUCAUUAGUCGGCCAUGUUGGAAGGUAGAAGACCAGCUUUGUAGGGCCCCAGGCCUGCUUUACCCUCAGAAUAAUCUCAGCAACUGUUUCCUCUGCUCAGUGCAAGGUGGGAUCAGUUUCGUCACUGGCAACACUCCACCGGAGGACUGGCAAAUGCACACAAUCACAAUGUCCAGAGGAAAACGUUCAGUUUGCUACUGGGAAUGACACGAUUCACUGCAAGUCCAGGAAACCGCAGUGAUGAAUAAUGCUUGGAGGACCACCCUGGAGCAGCUCUUGCCCCU